rnacentral:rRNA from 1 species
GUGGCUUAAUUUGACUCAACGCGGGAAAUCUUACCGGGUCCGGACACACUGAGGAUUGACAGGCAAUAUAUGUGACUCUUCGGAGUUUGCAUUGUUAAAUAUGCUAGUCCUUUCAUGAUUAUGUGAUAGGUGGUGCAUGGCCGUUCUUAGUUCGUGGAGUGAUCUGUCUGCUUAAUUGCGUUUCAAAUUACUUAUAAGGUAGCAAUACGCGAUGAAGCUUUCAAUAGUCCUCACGGAUUCACUUGAGUCUCUCGCUUCGCUAUCCUUUCGAAUGCAACGAACGUGACCGCAACCUCUUGUUGCCUUCGUUUAACAUCCUGCAGCUCGCUGUGGGUACUGAGGGCUUCACUCGGUGACUUUGGGCUGAGCAAUCGGUCUUU